CCAAGAAGGACCAAGAUGUCACCAAUCAAUACAUCACUCCCUGCAGGAAGACAAGGCACAGAAGCAAAACACUGUCAACAGAACAAAAGUGAAAACAUGAACAAAAUUCUGCUGUGAUUAAAGCACAAACAUGUGACACCAUCUUACCUGAACUGUCUUCCCUCCCUGCGAGUAUGUCUGCUCCAACCAUGGUUCCUACACCCAACAGACAGACAGCCACAGCGAUGAAGUGGAUCACUCUGUAUCUCGCAUUAAGAAUAAACCAGGACAGAGCCAUCAACACAGGAAUCCCAAAGCAAUCCAAAAGCUGCAUGGAAAGAGAACAGUUUAAAACCUCUCUCAUUAGCUAAAAUAUGGGUAAUUAAGAAAUAAUAGGACUCAGUAUUCAUUGAGCAUUUAUUAUUGCCAGCCCUCUACUAAGAGCUUUACCUGCAUUAACUCAUUUGAUCCUCACAACUCUAUGAGAGUGAAAUUACAAUCUAAUUUUAUACAUGAAAAAAUGAAGGCAUAGAGAGGUGAAAUGAGUUGCCAAAAUCACAUAGUUAAAAAUGGGAUGACAGCUGGGCAUGGUGGCUCAUGCCUGUAAAAUCUCAGUACUUUAAGAGGUUGUGGCAGGCAGAUUGCCUGAGCCCAGGAGUUCAAGAUCAGCCUGGGCAACAUGGUGAAACUCUGUCUCUAC